UACGUAGGGUGCGAGCGUUAAUCGGAAUUACUGGGCGUAAAGCGUGCGCAGGCGGUGAUGUAAGACCGAUGUGAAAUCCCCGGGCUUAGCCUGGGAACUGCAUUGGUGACUGCAUUGCUGGAGUAUGGCAGAGGGGGGUGGAAUUCCACGUGUAGCAGUGAAAUGCGUAGAGAUGUGGAGGAACACCGAUGGCGAAGGCAGCCCCCUGGGCCAAUACUGACGCUCAUGCACGAAAGCGUGGGGAGCAAACAGG
rnacentral:rRNA from 1 species